rnacentral:rRNA from 1 species
AGAGUUUGAUCCUGGCUCAGGACGAACGCUGGCGGCGUGCCUAAUACAUGCAAGUUGAGCGCUGAAGGUUGGUACUUGUACCGACUGGAUGAGCAGCGAACGGGUGAGUAACGCGUGGGGAAUCUGCCUUUGAGCGGGGGACAACAUUUGGAAACGAAUGCUAAUACCGCAUAAAAACUUUAAACACAAGUUUUAAGUUUGAAAGAUGCAAUUGCAUCACUCAAAGAUGAUCCCGCGUUGUAUUAGCUAGUUGGUGAGGUAAAGGCUCACCAAGGCGAUGAUACAUAGCCGACCUGAGAGGGUGAUCGGCCACAUUGGGACUGAGACACGGCCCAAACUCCUACGGGAGGCAGCAGUAGGAAAUCUUCGGCAAUGGACGAAAGUCUGACCGAGCAACGCCGCGUGAGUGAAGAAGGUUUUCGGAUCGUAAAACUCUGUUGGUAGAGAAGAACGUUGGUGAGAGUGGAAAGCUCAUCAAGUGACGGUAACUACCCAGAAAGGGACGGCUAACUACGUGCCAGCAGCCGCGGUAAUACGUAGGUCCCGAGCGUUGUCCGGAUUUAUUGGGCGUAAAGCGAGCGCAGGUGGUUUAUUAAGUCUGGUGUAAAAGGCAGUGGCUCAACCAUUGUAUGCAUUGGAAACUGGUAGACUUGAGUGCAGGAGAGGAGAGUGGAAUUCCAUGUGUAGCGGUGAAAUGCGUAGAUAUAUGGAGGAACACCGGUGGCGAAAGCGGCUCUCUGGCCUGUAACUGACACUGAGGCUCGAAAGCGUGGGGAGCAAACAGGAUUAGAUACCCUGGUAGUCCACGCCGUAAACGAUGAGUGCUAGAUGUAGGGAGCUAUAAGUUCUCUGUAUCGCAGCUAACGCAAUAAGCACUCCGCCUGGGGAGUACGACCGCAAGGUUGAAACUCAAAGGAAUUGACGGGGGCCCGCACAAGCGGUGGAGCAU